AUGAAGAAGAGGAGGGAGCCUGUCAGUGAAGGAGCGGAGAGUGCAUGGACACUGUCCAGGGGCCUGCAGGACCUUCUGACCUGCCCCGCCUGUGGAGGCUUCUUCAGUGACCCUGUAACAGAGCAUUCUGGUGACACCUUCUGCCGGGAUUGCCUUCCUCAGAAAUCCCAGCCUGCGUACCUCCAUACCAACUGGAAGAUGCAGAACCUGGUACGGCUGGCCAAGCAGCUCCUUGAGGAGCCCCAGGCCACUCUAGAGGGAUGGUGUGCCAAGCACCAGGAAAACUGGAGCUUUUUCUGUAGAGAAGACAAUGAGAAAAUCUGCCUAGUGUGCCACUACUCCAUCCUUCACCAGGGCCACACCCUGACCCAGCUGCAAGAUCUAGACACAAAACAAGAGGGUGCUUCUGAAGAAGAGGGCGAGACGGCCUCCAGAUCUCUGAACCACUGAAUUCUCUUCCCCGGGUCUUUCCAUGGGGUAGAACACUGGGCCCAAAAGAACUCUGCCGUUACCUUCACCCGCACCCCCUCUGGAAUCCUCCUGGAAACUCAGAGUCGGUUAAUCACGGACACGUCUUUAAGGAAGGGAGCGUGCAGGAUGGAAGAAAUUUCAAGUUGAAGCCUGAGAGAAAUUGCCAUUUUACUAUUCUGAGGGUACCCCAAGAUUAACAUGUCUGUUUUCUGUGCGUUUCCUUACCAGGAAGGUGCACUGGACACAGACCAGAGUAGGAGCUGCAGGAAGCCCAGUCUUGCUCACUGUCCCCAGCUGACCUCGUUAAGCCGUGCACCCCAGGCCGGCCUGAACCCUCCAACAGAACGUCCUGCUUCUGUGCCUCACUUGUUCCUGGGAAGACUGGCCCUUCUGUUUCCUGACGCCUCCCCAGUCCUCCCCUUUGUGCUUGUCGAGCAGAAAUCUCCCCAGCUUGUCCUGGGUGGUGGGCUCCUUUCUACUGUGUAAUGCGGUGCCUCGGGACUAGGGUCUCCUUUUCCUCCUAAUACAACUUUUCUGCUUUCAGUCCGGCUUGGACUCUUCUUCAUUUAGAAGGGUGCACUUUGUUCCACUGCCCUGUUGACACUGUUAUAUUAAUAAGCAAUUAUUAAUUUAGGAUCCAGGCUUUUGCUCCUUGGCUUCCCAUUUCAGGCCCAACCCCUGUAAAAAGUCAAUCUCUGAAGGACAGGAUUUAGAUCUCCUAGCCCUCAAGGUACAUGGGCAUUAAUGCUGGGCAAGACGCCACCCAGGGAGGAGACCUUACUCAUGUUUAGACUAUAAAUAGAAUCCAGGCUGGGCACGUUUUUGCCUGAAGAAGAACAGCCCCUGUCCUUGUACCCCUACAUUAGAAUUUAGGGUGACUCAGCUCAUGAAAGAGAAAACCAAUCUGAGUGGUCUGGAUAGAGGUGGCUGAGUCUCAUGGUCAAGCCAAGUUCUCAGCAGGAGGAGCUGAAGCCUAGUCUAGCCCAGCUCCCCAUUAAAUGUCCACCAAUCAGGGUUGAGUUUCAUUUGUGAAGGGAAUUCCCUUUCCUGGAUUACUUACACACCUUUCAAGCUCUCCAUGUUUUCUCUUUGGUUGUGGAGAGAAACCACUGAUCAGUUUAUGAGCAGAUAUCCUAAUAAGUUGAUUAUUUAAUACCAAGAACUGUCUGUGUGGGUUUUUCACUCCUGACAGGGUUCUUAGCAGCCUAGACUGUGAUGCUGAUUCAGCCUGAAACCUAGUGGUCCUUCUUGUUUGUAGCGUGAAGAAUUUUUACCUUGUAGUCACCUAAUAAAGUAUACUCUUCUCUUGUCUGCUGGAUGGUG
rnacentral:lncRNA from 1 species